rnacentral:rRNA from 1 species
CAGCAGCCGCGGUAAUACGUAGGGUGCGAGCGUUGCCCGGAUUUAUUGGGCGUAAAGGGCGCGUAGGCGGUCACGCACGUCCGUUGUGAAAUCGCUCGGCUCAACUGGGCGGGGUCAGCGGAUACGGCGUGGCUGGAGCAAGCUAGGGGGCAAUGGAAUCCCGGUGUAGUGGUGGAAUGCGUAGAUAUCGGGAGGAACACCAGUGGCGAAGGCGGUUGCCUGGAGCUUUGCUGACGCUGAUGCGCGAAAGCGUGGGGAGCGAUCCGGAUUAGAUACCCGGGUAGUCCACGCCGUAAACGAUGCGGACUAGGUGUCGGGGGUAUCGACCCCCUCGGCGCCGCAGCUAACGCAUUAAGUCCGCCGCCUGGGGACUACGGCCGCAAGGCUAAAACUCAAAGGAAUUGACGG